GUGGUGAUCAUCCAAUUUAACUGGAUUUUCUUUUUCGAUUUAAAUGAAAUACUCUAUGAUGCGUCCAUAUGAUAAGAAGACUUCAGAUAUAGUUUAUUGUCCUCCAUCUGGUGUGAUGCGAAAAUUUGGAGGGAGUGCCAGCUCAGGUGUCGUCCUCAUCGUGUGAUCGCGGUUCAAAAUGACGACGUUCGUCCCAAAACAUUCUUAGUCUUGCUUUAAAAAUGGAACAUAACAUAGAAACAUGUUUCCACUUCUGUGAUGACAGACUGGCGUUCUGAUUGGAGAGACUUUCCUCCCUAUUUACCAACGACAUUGCCGAACUCGUCUACGGUUAGUGAGUUAGAAGCC